UUGUCAGUCUCCUUCGUGUAUUCACGUUUCGUAUAAUAAGUCAUCAGCAGCAGCAAGCAGCCAUGGACUCUUCUGUCUUGUUUCGCUGUUACUCAUGCAUCACCUUUCUCCCCUGUUCUUUAUAACACGACAACAUUAAAAAAAAAAUAGCCUGUUCCGACAACUUUUUGAAACCAUGGUAGCUUCGUGUCCGAAAACAAUCGGUCUGAAAAAAAAAUGAGACUUGUAACAGAGUUCUUGAGAAAGUCGUUACCAUGGGUUGUGGAGGAUCUAAGAUAGAUGAUCAGCAGCUUGUGAUUCUUUGUAGAGAGCGCAAGGACCUGAUCAAAACGGCGUCGCAUCACCGCACUGCUCUCGCCGUAGCUCAUCUCGUUUACCUCCAGUCUCUACGCG
rnacentral:lncRNA from 1 species